CAAAAGAGUGGGAAGAGCUUUGAGUAGAGGUGACAAACCUACCGAGCCCAGUUAUAGCUGGUUGCCUGUGAAAUGAAUAGGAGUUCAGCCCUUUAAGUCUUUCCCCCCUCACCCAUGCUUAUGCUAAAAUUGAUUAAGGAAACUAAAGGCGUUAAUCAAAAGGGGUACAGCCCUUUUGAUAGAAGAAACAACUUUUACAGGUGACCCAAGAUCAUAUUACUCAAGGAUUUCAAAUUAAGUGGGCCUAAAAGCAGCCAUCUUAUCAGAAAGCGUUAAAGCUCAAAUUAGCCUACAUCCUCAUAUACUGAUAUUAUAUCUCCCUCCCUGCCCCUUACCAGGCUGUCUUAUGCCCCCAUAAGAACAAUUAUGCUAAAAUGAGUAAUAAGAAAAAUUUAAUUUUUCUCCUAGCACAUGUGUAAGUCGGAACGGACCUCCCACCGACUAUUAACCGACCCCAAACCCAGAGGGCAAUAGGUCAAAUAAACAAGAAAAACACCUAUUUUGUAUCGUUAACCCCACACAGGUGUGCCUAAAGGAAAGACUAAAAGAGAAGGAAGGAACUCGGCAAACACAAGCCUCGCCUGUUUACCAAAAACAUCGCCUCUUGCUCCAAAAAUAUAAGAGGUCCCGCCUGCCCUGUGACUAUAAGUUUAACGGCCGCGGUAUUUUAACCGUGCGAAGGUAGCGUAAUCACUUGUCUUUUAAAUGAAGACCUGUAUGAAUGGCAUCACGAGGGCUUAGCUGUCUCCCAUCUCCAGUCAAUGAAAUUGACCUCCCCGUGCAGAGGCGGGGAUGCUUACAUAAGACGAGAAGACCCUAUGGAGCUUUAGACCUAAAGUAAGUCACGUUUAAUGUGCUGUGAUAACAGUGGAAACUUAGUGAUAAUUACUGAAGUGUUUUUGGUUGGGGCGACCGCGGGGUAAAACACAACCCCCAUGUGGACCGGGGAUAUUAUCCCUAAUACUCAGAGCCUCUACUCCAAGUAACAGAAAUUCUGACUUUUCUGAUCCGGUAUAACCGAUCAACGAACCGAGUUACCCUAGGGAUAACAGCGCAAUCCCCUCUCAGAGCCCAUAUCGACGAGGGGGUUU
rnacentral:rRNA from 1 species